rnacentral:rRNA from 1 species
GUCUGAUUAGAUAGUUGGUGAGGUAACGGUUCACCAAGUSGACGAUCAGUASCCGGAYUGAGAGGUUGAAGGSCCACAUUGGGAWUGAGACACGGCCCAGAYUCCUACGGGAGGCAGCAGUGGGGAAUAUUGCACAAUGGGGGAAACCCUGAUGCAGCGAUGCSGCGUGGAGGAAGAAGGUUUUCGGAUUGUAAACUCCUGUCUAAAGGACGAUAAUGACGUACCUU